rnacentral:rRNA from 1 species
GACAGAGGUGCCAAGCGUUAGGCGGAAUCACUGGGCUUAAAGCGUGUGUAGGUGGAUUUGUAAGUACCUUGUGAAAUCCCAUGGCUCAACCAUGGAACUGCUCGGUAUACUGCGAAUCUUGAGCCACUUAGGGGCUACCGGAACAAAUGGUGGAGCGGUGAAAUGCGUAGAUAUCUGGAGGAACACCGGUGGCGAAGGCGGCAUCCUGGACCGAUAUUGACGCUGAUGCGCGAAAGCCAGGGGAGCAAACGGG